GAAUUGUAAGCCAGGCUGCGAAGCAGGAGGGGAGAUUCCAGGCAGAGGAAACUGCUUGGGGUAAAGAAAACAAAAAACGCAACCCCCCCAGCAUGGUGCGUACUGGAGAGACGGGGUUUCACCAUGUUGAUCAGGCUGGUCUCGAACUCCUGACCUUGUGCUCCGCCCACCUUGGCCUCCCAAAGUGCUGGGAUUACAGAUGCAGAUGCUGUGGCUCAAAGGAUUAAUUAAUUUGCUUAAGAUAAUGCAACAUGAGAAAAGCAGAUCAGGACGGAAUUCCAGAACAAGGAUUUUGCUUGAAAUAACAUCACUACUAAUUGUCUCUCUGCACCUCCUGGCUCAUUUCUCUACUCCCACACCUUCCCUGCUGACCCUAGUCAAGGAGCUGUGAACAUACAAAUAGUGCCUGAUACACUAGGGCCUCGGCAUUGGCCAUGGGAGUGAGGGAGAAAAUCAUUUAAGAGGCUUUGUAGUCGAUUUCAACAAAGAAGGCAAUGCCAGUGAAGCAUCUUGCAGGAAUCCCUCCCUGACUGCUUCAGUCCACAGCGCUCUUACCUUUCUCUAUACACUUACAAUCUGUUUCAUUUACUUCCUAGCAGACCUUGCAGAAACCAUUAUUUCAUAUGAUACGUUUCCCCCAUAGAAUAUAAGCUCCUUAAGGGAAGAGAUUUUUGCUUGGUUUUAUAAUGCUGAAUUCCAAGUGCCUAGAAAGGGCCUGGCAGGUCGUAGGCACAAGAAGUAUUGGUUGGUUGAAUAUAUACUUCUUGCAACCCACAGAAACUGAUGUUGGUCUGGGCCAGGCCCUGCCCUGGCUUCCAGGGAUGCAGAAGUGAAUCGAAUAACUUCCUGCCCUCUGAACUUAUGGGGGAGACAUACAUACCUGCAUAUUCACAAGAGAUUUCAUCACAUGUAACCAAAGUAAAAAGGUGGCCACCAGAAGGGGGACUGGACCUGCUUGUUGGAAGGGUGCAAAUGGAAACUAGAGAGGUGAUUGUUCCAGACAUUCCCAGUGGGACAGGUGGCUGUGAGCCUGUGAUGAACUGAGAGACACCACUGAGUAAAAGUUAAGAGGACAGGCUCUGGA
rnacentral:lncRNA from 1 species